CAAUAGCGUAUAUUAAAGUUGUUGCAGUUAAAAAGCUCGUAGUUGGAUUUCGGGGUGGCCUGCCUGGUCCACCGCAAGGUGAGUACUGGUCAGCCGCCCUUCCUCUCGAAAGCCCCGACUGCUCUUUGUUGUAGUGGUCGGGUAGUUCGGGACGUUUACUUUGAAAAAAUUAGAGUGUUCAAGGCAGGCUAUCGCCUGAAUACAUUAGCAUGGAAUAAUGGAAGAGGACUUCGGUUCUAUUUUGUUGGUUUCUAGGGCCGAAGUAAUGAUUAAGAGGGACAGUUGGGGGCAUUCGUAUUUAAUUGUCAGAGGUGAAAUUCUUGGAUUUAUGAAAGACGAACUAGUGCGAAAGCAUUUGCCAAGGAUGUUUUCAUUAA
rnacentral:rRNA from 1 species